UACGUAGGGGGCAAGCGUUGUUCGGAAUCAUUGGGCGUAAAGAGCGUGUAGGCGGCCAGAAAAGUCCGCUGUGAAAACUCGAGGCUCAACUUCGAGCUGUCGGUGGAAACUUUCUGGCUAGAGUCCGGAAGAGGAGAAUGGAAUUCCUGGUGUAGCGGUGAAAUGCGCAGAUAUCAGGAAGAACACCCGUGGCGAAGGCGGUUCUCUGGGACGGUACUGACGCUGAGACGCGAAAGCGUGGGGAGCGAACAGG
rnacentral:rRNA from 1 species